rnacentral:rRNA from 1 species
GGUCAAGGAUGGACUCGCGGCCUAUCAGGUAGUUGGUGAGGUAACGGCCCACCAAGCCUACGACGGGUAGCCGGCCUGAGAGGGUGACCGGCCACACUGGGACUGAGACACGGCCCAGACUCCUACGGGAGGCAGCAGUGGGGAAUAUUGCACAAUGGGCGCAAGCCUGAUGCAGCAACGCCGCGUGAGGGAUGACGGCCUUCGGGUUGUAAACCUCUUUUAGUAGGGAAGAAGCGAAAGUGACGGUACCUGCAGAAAAAGCACCGGCUAACUACGUGCCAGCAGCCGCGGUAAUACGUAGGGUGCGAGCGUUGUCCGGAAUUAUUGGGCGUAAAGAGCUCGUAGGCGGUCUGUCGCGUCUGCUGUGAAAACCCGAGGCUCAACCUCGGGCCUGCAGUGGGUACGGGCAGACUAGAGUGCGGUAGGGGAGAAUGGAAUUCCUGGUGUAGCGGUGGAAUGCGCAGAUAUCAGGAGGAACACCGAUGGCGAAGGCAGUUCUCUGGGCCGUAACUGACGCUGAGGAGCGAAAGCGUGGGGAGCGAACAGGAUUAGAUACCCUGGUAGUCCACGCCGUAAACGUUGGGCGCUAGAUGUGGGGACCAUUCCACGGUUUCCGUGUCGCAGC